rnacentral:rRNA from 1 species
CCUACGGGAGGCAGCAGUGGGGAAUAUUGCGCAAUGGGGGAAACCCUGACGCAGCAACGCCGCGUGAGUGAGGAAGGACUUCGGUCUGUAAAGCUCUGUUAAUGUGGAAAAAUGGUAAUUGGUCUAAUAGGCCGAUUAUUUGAUGGUACACAUAGAGGGAGCACCGGCUAACUUCGUGCCAGCAGCCGCGGUAAUACGAAGGGUGCAAGCGUUGUUCGGAUUUAUUGGGCGUAAAGCGCGCGUAGGCGGACCUGUAAGUCAGAUGUGAAAUCUCGGGGCUCAACCCCGAAACUGCGUCUGAAACUGCAGGUCUAGAAUCUUGGAGGGGGAAGGGGAAUUUCGCAUGUAGGGGUAAAAUCCGUAGAUAUGCGAAGGAACACCAGAGGCGAAGGCGCCUUCCUGGACAAGUAUUGACGCUGAGGCGCGAAAGCGUGGGGAUCAAACAGGAUUAGAUACCCUGGCAGUCCACGCUGUAAACGAUGAAUACUAGGUAUUGGAGGAUUUGACCCCUUNAGUGCCGUAGCUAACGCGUUAAGUAUUCCGCCGUGGGAAGUACGGUCGCAAGACUUAAAACGUUAAAGAGUAGUUAGGAGUGNGAGAGCGACGACGACGACGAGGAGGAGGAG